GCCGGGCGUAGUGGCACACGCCUGUAAUCCCAGCUACUCGGGAGGCUGAGACAGGAGACUCGCUUGAACCCGGGAGGCGGAGGCUGCAGUGAGCCGAGAUCGGGCCACUGCACUCCAGCCUGGGUGAGACAGAGCGAGAUUCCGUCUCAA
rfam:Pongo abelii chromosome 17, whole genome shotgun sequence.